GAUGAACGCUGGCGGCGUGCCUAAUACAUGCAAGUCGAGCGAACGGACGAGAAGCUUGCUUCUCUGAUGUUAGCGGCGGACGGGUGAGUAACACGUGGAUAACCUCCCUAUAAUACUGGGAUAACUUCGGGAAACCGGAGCUAAUACCGGAUGAUCUUUUGAACCGCAUUGUUCAAAAGUGAAAGACGGUCUUGCUGUCACUUAUAGAUGGAUCUGCGCUGCAUUAGCUAGUUGGUAAGGUAACGGCUUACCAAGGCAACGAUGCAUAGCCGACCUGAGAGGGUGAUCGGCCACACGGGAGCUGAGACACGGUCCAGACUCCUACGGGAGGCAGCAGUAGGGAAUCUUCCGCAAAGGGCGAAAGCCUGACGGAGCAACGCCGCGUGAGUGAUGAAGGUCUUCGGAUCGUAAAACUCUGUUAUUAGGGAAGAACAUAUGUGUAAGUAACUGUGCACAUCUUGACGGUACCUAAUCAGAAAGCCACGGCUAACUACGUG
rnacentral:rRNA from 1 species